AAAACUUUGUGGAACCUAUUUUCUGCUGAAGUCAUAUGCAUAGCCAAUUUAAGUAAGAUGCAAAACCUCUCCUCCUCAGAAAGCAAUAAUUGUGUGGCAUAGCAAGAUAAGAAAUGGAACUUAGCCUCAAAGGCUACAAAUGAUAUCUCACCCUGCUCUAAUGCUAAAAGAUUAUACUUCUUAUGGUCACAGAGGGACCUUAGCAUAUAUUUCUCUAAUAACAAAGCGUGGAAUUACUCCCAAGUCAAUUGAGGCAAAAU
rnacentral:lncRNA from 1 species